UACAGAGGUCCCAAACGUUGUUCGGAUUCACUGGGCGUAAAGGGUGCGUAGGCGGUCGGGUAAGUCUGAUGUGAAAUCUCACAGCUUAACUGUGAAACUGCAUUGGAUACUAUCCGGCUCGAGGAAUGGAGGGGAGACUGGAAUACUUGGUGUAGCAGUGAAAUGCGUAGAUAUCAAGUGGAACACCAGUGGCGAAGGCGGGUCUCUGGACAUUUCCUGACGCUGAGGCACGAAAGCCAGGGGAGCAAACGGG
rnacentral:rRNA from 1 species